rnacentral:rRNA from 1 species
CCUACGGGAGGCAGCAGUGAGGAAUAUUGGUCAAUGGGCGAGAGCCUGAACCAGCCAAGUCGCGUGAGGGAAGACGGUCCUAUGGAUUGUAAACCUCUUUUGCCGGGGAGCAAAAAGCGGUACGUGUACCGCAUCGAGAGUACCCGGAGAAAAGCAUCGGCUAACUCCGUGCCAGCAGCCGCGGUAAUACGGAGGAUGCGACCGUUAUCCGGAUGUAUUGGGUUUAAAGGGUGCGUAGGCGGUUCGAUACGUUAGAGGUGACAUCCCGGGGGUCAACUCCGGCACUGCCGCUGAUACGGUCGGGCGAGAGUUUAGGUGCGGUAGGCGGAAUGUAUGGUGUAGCGGUGAAAUGCAUAGAGAUCAUACAGAACACCGAUUGCGAAGGCAGCUUACCAAACUACGACUGACGUUGAGGCACGAAAGCGUGGGGAGCAAACAGGAUUAGAUACCCGGGUAGUC